rnacentral:rRNA from 1 species
GUGGGGAAUAUUGGACAAUGGGCGAAAGCCUGAUCCAGCCAUGCCGCGUGUGUGAAGAAGGUCUUCGGAUUGUAAAGCACUUUAAGUUGGGAGGAAGGGCAGUAAGUCAAUACCUUGCUGUUUUGACGUUACCGACAGAAUAAGCACCGGCUAACUUCGUGCCAGCAGCCGCGGUAAUACGAAGGGUGCAAGCGUUAAUCGGAAUUACUGGGCGUAAAGCGCGCGUAGGUGGUUUUGUAAGUUGGAGGUGAAAUCCCCGGGCUCAACCUGGGAACUGACUCCAAAACGGCAUGACUAGAGUACGGUAGAGGGUAGUGGAAUUUCCUGUGUAGCGGUGAAAUGCGUAGAUAUAUGAAGGAACACCAGUGGCGAAGGCGACUACCUGGACUGAUACUGACACUGAGGUGCGAAAGCGUGGGGAGCAAACAGGAUUAGAUACCCUUGUAGUCC